UGCAGUCGAACGGUUCAGAAGAGCUUGCUCUUUUGAUCAGUGGCGAACGGGUGAGUAACACGUGAGCAACCUACCCUUGACUCUGGGAUAACAGUUGGAACCAGCUGCUAAUACCGGAUACGACCUCGGCCGACAUCUGCUGAGGUGGAAAGUUCUGGCGGUCAAGGAUGGGCUCGCGGCCUAUCAGCUAGUUGGUGAGGUAACGGCUCACCAAGGCUUCGACGGGUAGCCGGCCUGAGAGGGCGACCGGCCACACUGGGACUGAGAUACGGCCCAGACUCCUACGGGAGGCAGCAGUGGGGAAUAUUGCACAAUGGGCGAAAGCCUGAUGCAGCAACGCCGCGUGCGGGAUGACGGCCUUCGGGUUGUAAACCGCUUUCAGCUCCGACGAAGCGCAAGUGACGGUAGGAGCAGAAGAAGGACCGGCCAACUACGUGCCAGCAGCCGCGGUGAUACGUAGGGUCCGAGCGUUGUCCGGAAUUAUUGGGCGUAAAGGGCUUGUAGGCGGUUUGUCACGUCGGAAGUGAAAACUCAGGGCUCAACCCUGAGCCUGCUUCCGAUACGGGCAAACUAGAGGAAUGCAGGGGAGAAUGGAAUUCC
rnacentral:rRNA from 1 species